UACGUAGGGUGCAAGCGUUGUCCGGAAUUAUUGGGCGUAAAGAGCUCGUAGGCGGUUUGUCGCGUCUGCUGUGAAAACGCGAGGCUCAACCUCGCGCCUGCAGUGGGUACGGGCAGACUAGAGUGCGGUAGGGGAGAUUGGAAUUCCUGGUGUAGCGGUGGAAUGCGCAGAUAUCAGGAGGAACACCGGUGGCGAAGGCGGGUCUCUGGGCCGAUACUGACGCUGAGGAGCGAAAGCAUGGGUAGCGAACAGG
rnacentral:rRNA from 1 species